rnacentral:rRNA from 1 species
UACGUAGGGGGCAAGCGUUGUCCGGAUUUAUUGGGCGUAAAGAGCGUGUAGGCGGCCAAACAGGUCCACUGUGAAAACUCGAGGCUCAACCUCGAGAGGUCGGUGGAAACCGUCUGGCUAGAGUCCGGAAGAGGAGAGUGGAAUUCCCGGUGUAGCGGUGAAAUGCGCAGAUGAUCGGGAAGAACACCCGUGGGCUAAGGCGGCUCGUCUCGGGACGUGACUGCGCUGAG